ensembl:snRNA U6 U6 spliceosomal RNA
GUGCUUGCUUCAGCAGCACAUACAUUAAAAUUGGAACAAUACGGAGAAGAUUAGCCUGGCCCCUGUGCAAAGAUGAGCUGCAAAUUUUUGACGUGUUCUGUAUUUUU